CCUACGGGAGGCUGCAGUGAGGAAUAUUGGUCAAUGGACGAGAGUCUGAACCAGCCAAGUAGCGUGAUGGAUGACUGCCCUAUGGGUUGUAAACUUCUUUUAUAUGGGAAUAAAACGUUCCACGUGUGGGAUUUUGUAUGUACCAUAUGAAUAAGGAUCGGCUAACUCCGUGCCAGCAGCCGCGGUAAUACGGAGGAUCCGAGCGUUAUCCGGAUUUAUUGGGUUUAAAGGGAGCGUAGGUGGAUUGUUAAGUCAGUUGUGAAAGUUUGCGGCUCAACCGUAAAAUUGCAGUUGAAACUGGCAGUCUUGAGAACAGUAGAGGUAGGCGGAAUUCGUGGUGUAGCGGUGAAAUGCUUAGAUAUCACGAAGAACUCCGAUUGCGAAGGCAGUUCACUGGACUGCAACUGACACUGAGGCUCGAAAGUGUGGGUAUCAAACAGGAUUAGAUACCCGGGUAGUC
rnacentral:rRNA from 1 species